rnacentral:lncRNA from 1 species
AAUAAAAAAAUCUAGGGUCUAACGUAAGGUUAGAUCCGGUAAAAGAUACACAAUAGUUUCCGGUGUAGAAACUAUUGUGUGAAAAAUUAAUUAAGUGCUUAAAGGAAUUGCUGGAAAGGAAAAAUAACAAUUGCAAAUAAAAGUAAAAAACUGUAAAAAUAAUGCUGUAAGGUAUGCUUGCACGGCUGGAAGAGAAAAGUUGAACGAAGCAGAGAGAUCGCGGAGAGCGCUGCAGGGUUUGCCAAAAACCACUAUUUAUAUUGGUCACUUUUUGUAACGGUU